AACGAACGCUGGCGGCAUGCCUAACACAUGCAAGUCGAACGACACCUUCGUGUCUACUGGCGCACGGGUGCGUCGCGCGUGGGACCCUGCCCUUAUAUUCGGAAUAACUCCCCGAAAGGGGUGCUAAUACCGGGUAAUGUCCUCUGACCACAGAUUUAUCGCCUUUGGGUGGGCCGGCGUUGGAUUAGCUUGUUGCUAGUGUAAGAGCCUACCACGGCGACGAUACAUAGCUGGUCAGAGAGAAUGCGCAGCGACACUGGGACGGGGAAGCGGCCCAGACUCCUACGGGAUGCGGCAGAGGGGGAUAUUGGCAAAUGGGCGAAAGCAUGAAGCAGCAAGGCUGGGUGAGUGAUGAAGGCCGGAGGGUUGUAAAGCUCUUUUACCCGGGAUGAUAAUGACAGUACCGGGAGAAUAAGCUCCGGCUAACUCCGUG
rnacentral:rRNA from 1 species